GAAAUGCGAUAAGUAAUGUGAAUUGCAGAAUUCAGUGAAUCAUCGAAUCUUUGAACGCACAUUGCGCCCGCCAGUAUUCUGGCGGGCAUGCCUGUUCGAGCGUCAUUUCAACCAUCAAGCCCCCGGGCUUGUGUUGGGGACCUGCGGCUGCCGCAGGCCCCGAAAACCAGUGGCGGGCUCGCUGUCACACCGGGCGUAGUAGAUUUUUCGUCUCGCCCAGGGCGUGCUGCGGGUUCCGGCUGUUAAAAAGCCUCUCUUUUAACCCAAGGUUGACCUCGGAUCAGGUAGGAAGACCCGCUGAACUUAAGC
rnacentral:misc_RNA from 1 species